GACAGAGGUGCCAAGCGUUAGGCGGAAUCACUGGGCUUAAAGCGCGUGUAGGCGGGCCGCCGCGUCGGCUGCUGAAAUCCCCCGGCUCAACCGGGGAACGGGCACCGAUACGGGCGGCCUCGAGGGGGGUAGGGGGGUCUGGAACUUCCGGUGGAGCGGUGAAAUGCGUUGAGAUCGGAAGGAACGCCCGUGGCGAAAGCGAGGCCCUGGACCCUUACUGACGCUGAGACGCGAAAGCCAGGGGAGCGAACGGG
rnacentral:rRNA from 1 species